UUCGCUUGUCAAACAUGCUAAUUGGGGUUAACAGAAUAUCCUCUCUUUCACAAGAGAAACCUGUGCACUUCUGCAUUGCUUUGUGCUCCAGCACAAAGCAAAAAGGCUUGACUUCUCAUGGAGAAGCAUUACAUUUUUGCAGAUACAGUGUGGCAAUUGCUGUGCAUGCGUCCUGUCUUCUCUCUGUGAGAAGAAUUCUGUUGGCCAGAAGAUCAUCG